AUUGAACGCUGGCGGCAGGCUUAACACAUGCAAGUCGAGCGGAGAUGAGGUGCUUGCUCCUUAUCUUAGCGGCGGACGGGUGAGUAAUGCUUAGGAAUCUGCCUAUUAGUGGGGGACAACAUUCCGAAAGGAAUGCUAAUACCGCAUACGUCCUACGGGAGAAAGCAGGGGAUCUUCGGACCUUGCGCUAAUAGAUGAGCCUAAGUCGGAUUAGCUAGUUGGUGGGGUAAAGGCCUACCAAGGCGACGAUCUGUAGCGGGUCUGAGAGGAUGAUCCGCCACACUGGGACUGAGACACGGCCCAGACUCCUACGGGAGGCAGCAGUGGGGAAUAUUGGACAAUGGGGGGAACCCUGAUCCAGCCAUGCCGCGUGUGUGAAGAAGGCCUUAUGGUUGUAAAGCACUUUAAGCGAGGAGGAGGCUACUGAGACUAAUACUCUUGGAUAGUGGACGUUACUCGCAGAAUAAGCACCGGCUAACUCUGUGCCAGCAGCCGCAGUAA
rnacentral:rRNA from 1 species